rnacentral:lncRNA from 1 species
AUCUGGGACCUUUUCAAGAUUAUGGCAAUCCGACAGCUCAAGAUGUGUUAGAUCAUGAAGUUGACAACAAGAUUCUGGUAGUGAGUGGAGUUUGUAGCAAUCGGAUAGGUUCAAAAACUGAAGCUUAUGCAACUUGCCAAAGGAUUCUGGAAGGGUAGGCAGUUCAUGGCAGCUUGCCAAGUUUAAGAAGAGCAAAGCACUGAGGUUACCGAAAGAGGUGGGAAGUUCAUGAAGGUUGACACAUCCUGAUAGGUCAAAGUAUUGCAGCUUUUGGAGGCAACCAACGUUUGUGGGCAGUGCCUUCAGAGAAGUGUUUGAAAGUAUCAAGGUUUGCAAGUUUAGGAGACGGUUCAAGGAUUUAGGAAAGUUUGGGAUAGGAAGGUUGGAAGCAUCAAGAUACCUUAAUAGCUUUAGUUUACAAACAGAACCCGGUAGCUCUGACACAUGGCAUCCACUCAAAUCCAAAACUCUCAGAUAUAAUGCUUGUGAGAAUGCUUGCUUAGGAAGAUGCAGUUUAUUGCAUUCUCUGAAAUGCAUGGCCCUAACCUUUGGUGGCAAAGACUUAAAGGCUGAUGAAGACUCCUCAUGAUUCAUCAAUAGCUGAUAGUGACAGUUCCGAUUGUCAGUUCUAUUGUUGUGCAUCAUUGUUUUUACAUAUGAAAAUUCUUCACUGGCAACAUAUCUUGUGAGAUCAUGUACCACAUCAUGCAUAUGGAAUUUCAGUGUGGGUUUGAACCUCCCGGAAUCAAGUACCUUGAAACACAAGGAAAUUAAAAGAAUCAUUAAUUAGAAGAUUAGAAUAUGAUAGUAGUCAGAGACUGGAUCAAAGGUUUCAGCUGGGCUUUGUUAUGGAUAAAUUAAAAAAGUGUGAGUAAGACAACUAAUUGUUACAGAUGCGGAGGUUCAUAUCACAAUUAUAUAUACCUUAAAGAGAUUUUUUGUAUUAUUUGUGGAAUUGACACAUAUAUAUACUGUAUCAAUAAAAGGUGUGUUUGGCCAACAACCAAAAUCUGCUGCCAUUUGCUGCUCAUGGUUUAUGUAUGUACUUUUCAGGCUCAAACAGUUAAAUGGGUGCAGUUACCAUGAAGAAAGAUGAAUUAAAGUCCACACAGGUGGAAACAGGCUUUGGAGAACCUUGUCCUUGCAUGUGGGUACGGAAAGAAAGAGAACAGUAAGGGCAAUAUGAGUGAAAAGAUAUUCGGAUUCUGAUCUGCAAGCUAAUUGGUGCUUUGGUUCAAGUUCUCAAGUGGCCUUCAGCUACAACAGUGAAUCCAAGAUUACUGUUUCAGACAGUGGAAACAUAACUAAUCAGUUUUGCAAGGUUAGUUCAACUGUUGGUUCAUUGAAGAAGUAGAUACAGAAACAUUGAGGGCCCAUAGUAUAAUUAAAAUAAAAAAGGAAAUUAUGUAUAGCAAAAAUUUCUUGCAUCCUCAGCUUCAUGCAUACAUUUGUGUUUCAUAGUUUUUGAAUGUGGAAGCAGUUGCUGAAGCUGGUGGAUAUAAUAGGAGACAGACUUGCUAAAAGAGGGUGUCCUUCCUUGUUUUGAACAUAGUUUGUAGCACUGGCUUUGUUAACGAAAUUGAGGAACACCCUUUUUCAUAAACAAAAUCAGUACAUACAAUUAUAUGAGGAAUGUAGCCAUAUUCACCUCAGGGGUAGUUGAAUGAGUAAGGAAGGACAUUCCCAAGAAAUCAUUAAUACAGUCCUGACCAACUUGGUGGAGUGAGAUCCCAUGAUCACCUUGAAUGAAUCCAAGAGCAACCCAUUGUUGAAUCAAGCUGUCAUGAUCUAUGUUAUGGCUCUUAGGAAAGACAGAGCAAUACAUGAAACAUAGUUUCUGGUGUGAGGGCAUGUGGUAAUAACUUAGCAUCAAGCCACUCAUAAUCCCAUAAUCAUCAUCUUUGAUCUCAAGAAUAUUACUGUCUUUAAGUGCAAUCCAUGCUUCUUUUGUGCAAUGCUUAUUCAUCACGUAACCAAGAGCUUUAGCAACUAGCGGUACUCCACCACAUUUCUUAGCAAUUUCUUCUCCAAUCUUGAUAAGGUCGACAUCCAGCCUAUUUCCUUGCAAUGAAGGAUUCAUAAUAGAAAAACAAUCAUCACUUGAUAAAGCCUCCAAUCUAGUUGGUGGAACGGUAUGAAAUUCUGAAGGUCGGAUGAUAGAUAAUGCUUUAGCAACUUGAUCACUUCGGGUGGUUACUAUUAUCUUGCUCCCUUCGUUACCGUACUGUAACAUUUUCAUCAAUUUCUCCAAACUAUCUCCCCUUUUCUCCCAUAGGUCAUCCAAGACAAUUAAAUAAAUCUUGCCUGAAAGUAUGCGUUGAAGGCAAGAAUUUAGAUUCUGUAGUCUAGUAUCAUUUGCUUGGAGGCUACCUUCAACCUGAGAGAUAAUAGCAGCUACAAUCUUGUUCACAUCAAACUCCAUCGAGACAUGGACCCAUGCUUUGACCUCAAAUAUAUUUGUCUCCUUAGCAACAAAAACAGAUUUUGCAAGUGUUGUCUUACCCAUACCACCAAGUCCAACAAUGGGAAUGAUGGAUAUUUUUGCUGGAUCAUCAUUCUGCAAUGCCAAAUUUAGUAUCCUGGUUUUUUCACUUUCUCUUCCUACCAUCUCAAUUUUAUCACUAGAAACCACAGAUGUUUCUUGGUUAUUCAUGUUCACAGGUCUUGUAUCUGCUAGUUGCAGAAAAUUGAACUUUCUAUGUUCCUCUGCUAUUUUAUCUAGCUCUUCCCUGAUUUUUCUCAUCUUGUUUGACAGGGUGAAGCGUGUGAUUAGUGGAUGGAAUGACAUAAACACCAAUUUAACCUGCAGUAUGUAGUUUGUUACACCAUCAGAAUUUUUUUUAAGUGGGUAUGUGCUGAUUUUAUAUAUUGUUUAAGUAUUAACCGUGCAAUUUUCAAAGCAAAUAUCAUAAUUUCAUAAAAUCAUAAAUUAAUAUUGAGCAUUGACUUUGUGUGAGAAGGCAUAUUGUAAUCUACCCUUAAAAUAGCAAAAAUGUAAUUAUAAAAAAUAGCAAAAAUGAAAGCUAAAAGAAUAAAGAAGCACACUUCAUAAACGUUGCAUUAUCUAUGAGAAUGGAUAAAGGAUUGCUAAAUGUAAUCGCAUGUAUGCGGCUAGGAAACACAAACCUGUGUCUUCAAAAAAAAUUCCAUCACAAGCUUUUUUUACUUCGAAUUCACACCAUUCAAAGAAUAUCAAUUCAAAAUGCUACACAAAAUAUAUAAAAUGUCUAAGCAUAAUUUGUGAAUCUAUAUUAUGUCUUUUAUCUUUUAUGCUUAAGGAUUGACAGACUAAAUCAUGUAAUUAGACAUUUCGAAAGUGAUUUGCAAUAUUGCAUUCAACAUUAUGAUAAGAAUUAGUUCUCAAAAUUGUGCUUGAGACCUGAUGUCAAGAUCAAACAUGAUCACUUUAUUAAAACAUGAUCACUUUAACAUGAUCAAAAUAUGUUUGAUCACUUUAUGAUCAAACAUGAUCACUUUAUGAUCACUUUAUUAAAACAUGAUCACUUUAUUACAAAUUCAUUAAACUUUCGGAUAUGGGAACAAUCUACCAUAAACAAUUUUAAUUAUUAGUCUAUAUGUUAUAAAAAUACAUUUAAGCACUGCAGUUGCAUAACAAAUCAAUAAACACUCAUAAGUUGUAUUUUUAAACCAAGGUACACAGUUGCACUGUCUGCUAUAGCAAUUCCAUCUGUUUACAUAUGCUAAAUAAAAGCUAAAAUGUAGUAGAAUUUUUCACACACAAAAAAAGAAAAUAGCAUGCCAUCGCUGAGCUUUGGUUACUGCUUAGGAAUGCCCUUUUUAUGCGAGGUAGAUGAAGCGAUUUAUUUAAACCUGCACGGUUAAGGAAUAUUAAAUCUAAAAGAAGAAAGUUGUAUACCAUACUAUACAACUUAUUUCAGAUCUAGCCACACUAUCUCAGGACAGUUUGAUAAGUUGACUUGAAAUUAAACAGUGAUGUAAUACUCCAACAAAGAUGUACUCAAACUUAUUAGUUUUUCAUGUUGAUAUGUUGAUGAAAUUUCAAUGUUGCAUGAUUGCAGCAAGCUAAAGUUUCAUGAUAGAUUUUCACCAGUUUCUACCACAACAUAUUUAAGACUAAGGGGGAAAUGAAAAAAUAGGAUAUACAUGUAUAAUGUGGCACACAAAAUAUUCCUAGAGAGGUAUACUAGCAAUUUUAUCAAAUGAAAUAAGCUCUCUAUAUACAUUCAGAGCUCAGAAUAUAGGUAUUACCGGGCAUGUGCUACUCCUCCAUAUCUUUGUAUUUGCCUCCAGCUCAUCAAUCAUGUCUUCAAUGUUGUAGGCAGCAGAUUUGAGCUUCUUGAGCCAAAGCCGGACCGAUUCACUACGUUGGGAGCGUUUCUCAGCAUCCGCCGUCACGGCCUUCACAGUGAUCAAGGUGCCCUUCAUCUCCUCAAAAUCAUCACUGAACCUCUGCAGAAGCUCCACCCUUUCCCAGGCAGCCUGACCAAGCAUGCCAGCCACACGCUGCACAACAGCUCCAGCAAUCAUCUCAGCACCCCCACUCAUGACUAUAGGCCUUGAUCUCUCGCGCACAGGUAUUAUUUGUGCUGCGCCCAAGAUAGCUCAUAGAUAGAACAAAGAUGAUGUGCUCUGCUAUUUAUACUGCUUUCUUUCUUAGCCUGAAGCUUUUGCACCUGAUACCUGGAGUGUAGUGUAGUUGAGUGCUGGGGAUAUCUACUGAAGGCAAAAUGCAUAUAUUCUGAUGCAGAGUUGCACCUUGCAAGCCUCGACCUUUGAGGAAAGGUAUAUGCAUGAUGGCCUCUCAGGAAAGGAACAUAUUUGGUGAAAAAAAGUAAAGAGAAGAACCUCAGAUUAAUUCGAAGAUGUACAAUGAAAAAUGGUAGUUAACAUGAUGCUGAGACCUUCACCUUUUAGUUCAGGAAUGAUGUGGUCCUUCGUCUCUGUGAAGAAAUGAACCUUCGUAAGAAAAGCAUUCUGCAGUUUGCAUUCUUUGAGUAGGACAUACAAAUUGCAGAGAACAAAUGCUGCAUAGCAUGUGCAGGACAUUCAUAAGCCAAGUAUUCUAUCCAGGCUAUGUGAGAAUGCAGGAGCAAAUAGUGGAAUUUGUCAGUUGUCACCUCUUUCUAGUUAAAACCUAUCCAUAAUUCUGAUCGGAGAGUUGAUAUGGACGACUCGAUUCCAAGGGAUGCGUGAACACCCGACUUCCCGCCCGCCAAUUUGUCACUGCAGCGAUCCGCGUCGAUCUGGGCCGUACAAGCCCGAUCCAGCGUCCUGGACAGGCGUCCACCCCCCUAGGGUCCGAUUGGGCGGCGCCAAUGGCGAUGCCUCCGCCGCCAGCUCACCUGGGGCCAAGAUGGUUCGAAGCGUGUUCCAGCUUCCCAGGGAGAAGUUUCCGUCGACUACCUUCAUCUAGGUGGCCGACGCCAUCGCGGCGGCGCGGUUUGACGCAGGGCGCGGGCGGGCGGCGAGCCGGCGAGACUGCGAGCCGUGCAGCGCGUGCUGGUGCCUGGUACGGGUGGAGCUAGGUUCUCGCCCAGAUGGACGGGUUCCAUGGUACGGCAGCACGAGCUCCGCCGGAUGCCAGGAUCUCACCACCUAUGGUGGAUCAUUGACACCCAAAUAUGAAUAGAACUUAGGUAAUUGAGUUAGAAGCAUAUCCAACAGCAACAUUGUACGAUGACCCAGCCAUUAGAGUCGGGGACAAAGCUGGGGAUGCAGUCGUCGUAGUUGUACUAGCUUGUAGGAGAUCGCGUCGUCCCUCUAGCCUCCACCUCGUUUGGCCGGAGACAGCAAGAGUACCCCGUCGCCAACGCCACCGACGGCCGGAACACGCUGUACCCCGUGGAACUCGCCUCCGUCGUCGGCUCGUGCGCAGCGGACCGCCUCCUGAGAUCGCUCCCCGCGGGCGCCGCCGGCGUCGCGGGCUUCUCCCGGUGUCCGCUCUCCCUGCCGUCGCAGCUCUCCUCGCAGCGCGCGUUCGGCAACAAAUUCGCCCUGUGCCUGCCGGACUUCGCCUUGUUCGGCAACACGUCGGUGAACCUGGGGCUCCAGUUCCUCCCCGACCUCGCCUCCGUCAUCCCGUACACCCCGCUCGUGAGGAACCCCCGGAACGACGCUCACUACCUCCCCGUCAAGACCAUCUCGGUGCGCUGGGAUCAGGACGUCGAGGUGUCCAUGCCCCCCGGCGCGCUCGACCUCGACUUCAACACCGGCCGCGGCGGCGUGGUGCUGAGCACGGUGACGCCGUACAUGGCCAUGCGCUCCGACGUGUACCAGAAUAAACGUGUCACGUCAGUAUAUCUGCUCCUCGAUCCAGCAUCUCCAACAGAUUGUAUCCACGGAUAUCCGCAUCUGAUUAAUCGUUAAGUCAACUCCAACACUUCCUUUCCUUCUCCUUUAGCAACGCAAAAUAAAGCCUGAACGUCUCUGCAUAUACAAACACAUAUAACAGGAUCAAACCAUCGAUCUCCAGUUCUCAUUUUCUCAACAACCCAAAGCUCUUCCAGUCGCUAGAAGAAGAGGAAGCACCAUGCCACCUUCGCUGCCACUGCAACCCAGCACCAUGCCUGUUCGCUUCAGCAGCAGCCGCACAGCACUAUAGCUGCUGCUAAUUGGGACACUGGCUAUAGGCCAGCUGCUGCAGCAACUGCAACCCAGCAUGCAUCCUGCAGCUAGCCGUCGCAGUGCGCGCGGCUUCGGCGGCAGGUUCGCGAUGUGCCUCCCGGCCUUCGCUGCAUUCGGCGACACGCCGGUGUACCUGGGGACGGAGUCGCGGGGCCUCGUCGAGUACACGGGCUCCAUCCCGUACGCGCCGCUCCUCGCGAACCCGAGGAACCCCGGCCAGCGGCCACUACAUCCCCGUCAAGGGCAUCUCCGUGAACUGGCACGGCGUGGACGUGGCGGCCUCCCUGCCCAACGGUGCGCUGGACCUCGACGGCCGCACCGGCCGAGGCGGUGUCGUGCUGAGCACGGUCACGCCGUACACCAUCAUGCGGGCGGAGGUGUUCCGCCCGUUGAUCCAGGCGUUCGACGAUGCAAUAACCAGGCUGCAAACCAUGGCGCCAUCAAUUACUGCUACUGAUACUGAUGAGCUGGUACUUAAUUAAUGAGCUGACUGAUACUGAUGAUCAUCUUUGAGCUGAUCGAGAUCAACUCACCUGCAGAGGGAAGAUGAAAGAUGUGAAGCGUGUGCCAGCGGUGAAGCCGUUCCAGCUGUGCUACAACGGCGCCUUCCCGCUGCUGAAGCGGCCGAUCAGCUACGACGUACCAAGGAUCGACCUGGAGCUGGCCGGCGCCAGAAGCAACUGGACUGUGUUCAAUAACAACGACCUGGUGCAGGUGGACGGCGCCAUGUGCGUCGGGAUCCUCGAGAUGGGGCCGGGCGCCAUGCCGGUUGAUGGCGAGCUGGCAAUGGUGAUCGGCGGGAAGACGAUGGAGAACAACCUGCUGGUGUUCGAUCUGGAGAAAGGGGUGCUGGGGUUCAGCAUGUUGUUGGACUUUCAGUUGACCAGCUGCUACAGCUCUAACCUGAGUCGCCUUUGAGCCAGUAACAGAGUGCUGCAGCUUUGUAGGCAAGUGCUGCACUUGUACUCCACCAGCACAAGCUCUGUAGGCAUCUCUGUUUCACGCAUUUUGCAGCAGUAUCAUUGUGGUCCUCAGGCACGAUGCACAACAAAUUUCAGGCCAUCUCUCUCCCUUUUCCCGUUGCCUGUGCUGCACCACUAUGUUUAGAGUCGGAUCCUCACUUGUUAGCUCCAGAUAACUAAUGCUGAUCAAAUGCACUAUGGAUUCAAGAUAAAAUGCAUGAAUUCAUCGACGCAGUUAACAGAUACAACCAAAAAGAAACUCUAUGUAAUGCAAGUUCAUGCAGGCCAGAAUGAAAGCACAGUCGAAUGGAACUGUACCUUAUGCUUUACACAGGCAAGAACAUUUCGACGACACUUUCAGCUUAUGAGGUGGUGGUGCCACGUCGGACCAGCGUGGACGUCCGUGGCGCCACUCCCGGUGGCAGGCGGUGCCAUGCUGAGUACAGUGACGCCGUGCACAACGUCACGGUCAGGUGGCCCGACGUAUUCCUCCCGUCCCCCCCGAUAGUUCGACGAGGCCAUGAACAGGUUCUCCUUGCGCUCUGCAAAACAUGGUGUCAUUAUCCAAGUACAGUACCAAAUAGCACUACCUGGCUGAGCUGAUUAGUCAUGCGUCAACUGAACUCACAUGCAAGGGCAACAUGACCGGCGUGAAGAGCGUGCCGCCGCCAGGUCACCGUCGUGAAGGCGGCGGUUGAGCCUUCGAGCUGUUCUACAACGGUUCUUGAAGUGGCCGGUCAGCUAAGACCCUGGAGAGAGCGACCUGAUGGUGUUCCGUAUGAUUAAUUUCAUGAAUGGAAGGGCGUACUUGUUAGCUUCAGAUAAAAUGCUCAAGAUCAAAUAGAUGAAUUCAUCACCGAAGUUAUAUUAAUUGAUACGGUUGGAAAAAAAACUCUUUACCAAUAUUAAUUGAUACGGUCGGAAAAAAAACUCUUUACCAAUUUCAUGCAGGCAAAGAUAUAAUUAAAGAGACUACGAUCAAGAGAAAAAUCUUGGUAACCGUACCUACAUGAUGCUUUACACAGGCAACGGCAUUUGGACAGAGAUACCCGGCUCUCCUUGUAUACAUAAUGCAUAUGGAAUUUGGACAGCUAACCGUCAUUUCAAACAAAAAGCUAACUAUGAUUUGAGAGGUCGGGUAGUAUAUGGUAGAUCCUUGACAGCCCUCAAGGUGGCCUGCCAAAAAUUGAAAAUAAAAAAUGACUCGAGACUUUAGAAAUUCAUAUUUAGGGGGUGUUUGGCUUAGGGGGGCUAAAGUUUAGCCCUGUCAUAUUGGAUGUUAAGAUACUAAUUAGAAGUAUUAAAUAUAGUCUAAUUACAAAAGUAAUUACACAGAUGGAGUCUAAUUCAUGAGACGAAUCUAUUAAGUCUAAUUAGUCCAUGAUUUGACAAUGUAGUGCUACAAUAACCAUUUGCUAAUGAUGGAUUAAUUAGGCUAAAUAGAUUCAUCUCGCGAAUUAGCCUAGGGGUUCUGCAAUUAGUUUUAUAAUUAGUUCAUGUUUAGUCCUCAUAAUUAGCAUCCGAACAUCCGAUGUUACAGGACUAAACUUUAGCCCCUGGUAUCCAAACACGCCCUUAGUCACUAUUGACUAAUUUGUCCGCACAAUCGUUAGCCAAGUCACAGAAAUUAAAGAAAAGCAUGCACUGUAAGUUAUCUGGCAGAAAAGAAAACAGCAUCGAUAAGGAGGUUCUCACCAUGCUAGAUGAGGUGUGAAGCUUCUUUUACUCGAAUUUGACUUCUGGAAUAUGAGCGAUCUUGUGCUUGUCCUCUCCUUGGCACUUCUCUGACAGUGCUAGGCAGUUGGCGAUCCGCAGUUUCUUUAACCCAGUAAGACGCUGUAUGCUUUCUGGCAGUGAAGAUAGCAUUGGGCAUGAGCCGAUUUCAAUUUGUCUCAAAGAAGUUAAAUCUCCCAGCCAUUCUGGCAGUGUCUCCAAGUCAUAACAGUCCUCUACCAAGAAUACCCGGAGGGAGAUGAAAGAUCGGAUAACCUCUGGCAAUGUUGUAAGACCCGUGAGGGAGCCAAGAGCAAGGUUCUCGAUAGAACAGAGAUACCGGGCCCUAUGCCACGCUUCAGGAGAAGGGGAUGUGCCCGCUAUCAAAAGGUAAUAUGGAGAAGUGAUAGAUGAGAGGUUCCCAAACCCAUGUUCCGGAAAAACGUGAUCGCUAUUCCGUACCGCCCAGGUCACGCUCCUUGGGGGAUAAGGCAGGAAUUUCAACUUUGGGCAAUUAGAAGCAAACAGCAGAUGUAAAUUAGGGAUUAAGAACUCUUCAUCUUCAUUAGACGUUCUCGUUGUCCACCACCCUUCCAAGUUGUCCAUUCCCUCCAAAAGAAUCAUUCUUAGCUUCCAGCAACUUCCGUGGUCCCCAUAAAAUUCCCUCCCGACACUUUUGAGAUUGGGCAUUCUAGCCAAGCACAAUGCUCUCAAAUUUGGCAGGCGCCCAAGUGGAGGGAGGUGGCUGCACCCUUUCAGAUUGGAAAGAAAGAUGGUGGAAAGAUGAGGUAGGUAGGAAGGAAGCUCCAGCAUCCACCUAGAGAAGUCUAUGCUCAUGUAACCAUCAAGAUGAAGGUGUCGGAGAUUUCUAGGAGGCACAAGCUUCUCCAGCACCGAUUUCUCAACUGAUGCAUCUGCAUGCUCCACCAUACUACUUUCACCAUGUCCCCAUGAAAGCCACAGACUCGUAAGAUUUGAGCUGUUCAACAGUUUUGCCUGGUCUGCCCCUUCCAGAUUCUUGACAUUCUUAAGACCUUUGAUCAGCAGCUCAAGGCAGGGUGUCUUCUCGAGCUCUAAAAUUUGACUCCAUAGAUCACCACGUCCAUCAAGCACACAUGACCUUUCCAGGUUUAGUUGUUCCCUAAGUUUAUCAACUUCAGAACGUAUAUGGAAUGCAAAAAGUCCUCUUUCGACAUGUACAAGUGUAGACAUGUUAAAAAUGCUAUCCGGAAGGCCAACAAGGAAAAAGCAGCCUUGCAGAUCCAAACUCUGAAGUCGUAAAACACCAAUAGAAGCAGGCAGAUGUCUAAGUUUUACACAGAACGACAAAUUUAGAUGCUUUAACAUCAUGAGUUUGCACAGAGACUCGGGCAACAUUUGAACCUUGGAACAGCUUGUCAUGUUCAGAUACUCAAGCUUAGAAAGUUGAUCAAUACAAUCUGGGACCUUUUCAAGAUUAUGGCAAUCUGACAGCUCAAGAUGUGUUAGAUCAUCAAGUUGACAACAAGAUUCUGGUAGUGAGUGGAGUUUGUAGCAAUCGGAUAGGUUCAAAAACUGAAGCUUAUGCAACUUGCCAAAGGAUUCUGGAAGGGUAGGCAGUUCAUGGCAGCUUGCCAAGUUUAAGAAGAGCAAAGCACUGAGGUUACCGAAAGAGGUGGGAAGUUCAUGAAGGUUGACACAUCCUGAUAGGUCA